GUUGAUUUCUGAACGAAUUGUUAUUCCUUCCAGCAAGCAUCUAAUGUUACUGCCAAACCGUCCACAAGCUGUGCACCCACUACAGAAGUCUCUGCAACUGCUAGCUGGCAUGAUAUCUGGAACAAAAGAUUACCAAUAGGGCUGCAUCAACAUCCAAGGCACGAAGUAUUGGCCUAUCGCUAACAGCUAUAAACAAAGCUGCAGGAUGGUCGAAUUCGAGUACUUUUGGACGUUUUUAUAAUAAGACAAUUCAUGAAAGUAACUUUGGUAGUAGCAUUUUAGCCAAUUUUGAUUGUUAAUAUUGAUUAUUUGUGUGCGUACAA